AGUAUUCAGCUUUCUUUGACAAACACAGGAGAAGUUAUAAAUCAGAAACAUGGACUCUCCAUGAUUUCAGUCGUCAUGUCCUCAUAUUUCUUUAGACCUGAAAAACCCGAGUGUGUUUCAGGUGACAUGACUUUUGCCUUAACCUAACUCUGGAGAGCCUGUGUUCGAAUGUCCCCAUAUUGCUGUUCCACAGAACUGAACAGUGUUAACUUUCUAUAGUGUGGUAUAUUCAUCCCAAACUCUCCCGUGAGCAAUGUUCAAUGAUAAUUAAUAUUUAUUCAUUUCUUAACUGGUCAGAAUGAAGAAUGCUGAAUAUUUUGACACCGUAAUGUUAUGUUGCAGACACCAAGUGACCUGACUGAACCCUCUGGAGACCAUGAAUGGAGUGAGAGAUCCACUUCAUUCUUACAACAGACAUCAAGUGACAGGUACCUGACUGAACCCUCUGGAAACUAAGAAUGGAGUGAGAGAUCCACUUCAUCCUUACAACAGACAUCAAGUGACAGGUACCUGACUGAACCCUCUGGAAACCAAGAAUGGAGUGAGAGAUCCACUUCAUCUUUACAACAGACACCAAGUGACC